UAUGGCGACCGGCGCACAGGUGAGUAACACGUAUCCAACCUGCCGAUGACUCGGGGAUAGCCUUUCGAAAGAAAGAUUAAUACCCGACGGCAUAGUUCUUCCGCAUGGUAGAACUAUUAAAGAAUUUCGGUCAUCGAUGGGGAUGCGUUCCAUUAGGUUGUUGGCGGGGUAACGGCCCACCAAGCCUUCGAUGGAUAGGGGUUCUGAGAGGAAGGUCCCCCACAUUGGAACUGAGACACGGUCCAA
rnacentral:rRNA from 1 species